ensembl:lncRNA
GCAGGGAAACAAGUGCACAAAAUUUUGCCUGCAAAGGAGUUAGCAUCUGGAUCGCCAUCACCUGGAGCCUCCUUACUGCUUCCAAACCAAAACACACAGCUUGAUAAUCAGUCCCCUAAGAAAACAAAGUGCAAGAAAAAAGUGAAGUUCAAAAGCAUGUUGGAAAACACUUCUACCUCCACUGUUUUACCAAACUCAUCUGGAAAAAGCAAGCCAAAUGCAGCUUGUGGGAUUACAGUUGAAAUGUUAGUUUCUGAACAGCCAGGUGCCAACAUGGAAAUCAGUUCCAGAGCAGUGAACCCAGGAAAGAAUGAAGCAUUGCUAACAAGUACAGCAUUUCUGCAGCCGGAAGAUUUAGAGCUGGAUUUGUCAUCGGUGCACAAAGUCUCUCUCAGUGAAGAUGUCUUGCCAAACUCCUGCAGUUUGUUUGUCAAUUCAGAAGAAAUUGUUCCUUCAUCCCUGUCUCCAGAAAGACACAUCCAGCAGUAUCUAUGUAAUCUACCAGAAAUCUGCUCUAUUGUUAAAGCUUCUCCAGAAUAUAGACCACUGAAAGUUCUCCAGCGUCCACUGAACAGAAAAGCGCUGUUCUUUCCACCAGGAUCAACAGAAGGUAAAAAAAAAAAAGGAAAAAAAAGAACAGAGAAUUUUUCUUUAUUGUAA